AUGUAUGUGUAUGUGUAUAUAUAUAUGGAAAAAGAUUUCCUAAGCUACUAGCUAUAAUGAAUAGUAUAAGCUACUAGCUCUUUGCUGUCAAAUCUUCAUCGGGUGGUUCAGAAUUCAUAUCACUAUCUGAAUUUUAAUAUUUUUUCUAGAAAUCAGAUCGUAAUGAAAGUUUGGAUGUGUGUAUUAAACAAUAGGGCGCACAAUAAAAAAAUAUUUCCUAAAAUAUAAACUGAUUGAAAUACCCUGAAAAAUAAUGGGGGUAAUUUGGUCAUUUUAAAUUAUUGGAAGUAAUUGUUUUAUAUUUUUAUACGGUGCGCAAUAGUGUUAGGUAUAUACACUCAAAAUUUCAUCUUAAUUUGAUUUAUAGAAAAAACAUUAAAAUUAAAAUAGUGAUAUGAAUUUUGAACCACGCGAUGAAGAUCUGACGGUUGGGAACUAGUAGCUUAUAUUAUUCAUUAUAGCUAGUAGCUUAGAAAAUCUUUUUCCUAUAUAUAUAUAUAUAUAUAUAUAUAU
rnacentral:pre_miRNA from 1 species